rnacentral:rRNA from 1 species
UACGUAGGGUGCAAGCGUUGUCCGGAAUUAUUGGGCGGAAAGAGCUCGUAGGCGGUCUGUUGCGUCCGCUGUGAAAACUCGGGGCUUAACCCCGAGCCUGCAGUGGAUACGGGCAGACUAGAGGUAGGUAGGGGAGAAUGGAAUUCCCGGUGUAGCGGUGAAAUGCGCAGAUAUCGGGAGGAACACCGGUGGCGAAGGCGGUUCUCUGGGCCUUACCUGACGCUGAGGAGCGAAAGCGUGGGGAGCGAACAGG